GUGAACCCAAAAUCAGUCCCUCCUGGUCCGACCCCUCCCCAAACCUCAGAUGAGGAAGAAGAAGCUCCAGUGAACCCAACAUCAGUCCCUCCUGGUUUGACCCCUCCCCAACCCUCAGAUGAGGAAGAGGAGGAAGAAGAGGAAGAUGAAGGUCCAAAAUGCCAACAAAUGGUAUUCUGAAACUGAAAAUGAUGGUGUUUGCCUUCGCUACUGAUUUUUGCAUUCACUGUUCAUUGCACUUGUACUCACUUUCUAAUAACUGACUGAUUUGCUUUCUGUGAUGGUGAUGUCAUGAUGUUCUGAGUUUAAGAGACAAUGGUGGCAGAGGUAGAGAGUAGUGAUCGGAGGGCUCUGCCAACAAGGCCUACAAUGGGAGGGGAAUGUGAACAGCAUGAAAGUGAAUGUAAUAAUGAAACAACUGAGUCUGCUCCAGGGUCCAGCUCAGUGUGUGUGUGUGUAUGUAAUCUAUAAAGACUCACAGUUAAUCUAUUUCACGUUGAACUCUAAUGGACUGCAUUUUAUUUACUGGUAAAGUGUGUGUAAAGAUCUAAUGAAACAAGCCUGAAGAAGGAUUUUUAUUCCACAUUUCUUUCCCUGUAAAACCAAUAUUG